rnacentral:rRNA from 1 species
GAUGAACGCUGGCGGCGUGCCUAAUACAUGCAAGUCGAACGCUGAAGCUUGGUGCUUGCACCGAGCGGAUGAGUUGCGAACGGGUGAGUAACGCGUAGGUAACCUGCCUCUUAGCGGGGGAUAACUAUUGGAAACGAUAGCUAAUACCGCAUAAAAGUCGAUAUCGCAUGAUAUUGAUUUGAAAGGUGCAAAUGCAUCACUAAGAGAUGGACCUGCGUUGUAUUAGCUAGUUGGUGAGGUAACGGCUCACCAAGGCGACGAUACAUAGCCGACCUGAGAGGGUGAUCGGCCCAACUGGGACUGGGACACGGCCCAGACUCCUACGGGAGGCAGCAGUAGGGAAUCUUCGGCAAUGGGGGCAACCCUGACCGAGCAACGCCGCGUGAGUGAAGAAGGUUUUCGGAUCGUAAAGCUCUGUUGUAAGAGAAGAACGAGUGUGAGAGUGGAAAGUUCACACUGUGACGGUAACUUACCAGAAAGGGACGGCUAACUACGUG